UACCAGCACCCCGAGUGGUCGGGACGUUUAUUGGGCCUAAAGCAUCCGUAGCCGGUUCUACGAGUCUCCCGUUAAAUCCAACUGCUUAACAGAUGGGCCGCGGAGGAUACUAUAAGACUAGGAGGCAGGAGAGGCAAGCGGUACUCAGUGGGUAGGGGUAAAAUCCGUUGAUCCAUUGAAGACCACCAGUGGCGAAGGCGGCUUGCCAGAAUGCGCUCGACGGUGAGGGAUGAAAGCUGGGGGGAGCAAACCGG
rnacentral:rRNA from 1 species